rnacentral:lncRNA from 1 species
UAUAAAAUAAUCACUGGAUUUGGCACAGUUUAUAAGGAACAGCAAGAACUGACAUGCUUUCACCAUGAAAACACCACGUCACUGGCUCUAUUUCAGCAGGCAUUGAAAACAGCAGAAUACAGCCAAAGGAUCAUCCAGGAUGGAGACAGGGAAAUCAAACAUGCACAUCUUCACAGGCUGAGCCAGGGCUUUAUGCAGGUUGAACAGAGAUUUGGGCUCCAUCUUACCCGAUGGAGAGAGUGCAGGCUGCUGUCCAGGCGCCUGCUUCAUAUUAGGGGAAUGCUGCUCCCACUCGUCUGCUCUCUCAUUGAUACACAACUCCCUCUCUCCCUCCCUCCCCCUCUCUCUCUCUCUC